UGGGGAAUAUUGCACAAGGGAGGGAACUCUGAUGCAGCGACGCCGCGUGAACGAAGAAGGCUUUCGAGUCGUAAAGUUCUUUUAUAUGGGAAGAUAAUGACGGUACCAUAAGAAAAAGCACCGGCUAACUACGUGCCAGCAGCCGCGGUAAUACGUAGGGGGCUAGCGUUGUCCGGAAUCACUGGGCGUAAAGGGUUCGCAGGCGGAAAUGCAAGUCAGGUGUAAAAGGCAGUAGCUUAACUACUGUAAGCAUUUGAAACUGCAUAUCUUGAGAAGAGUAGAGGUAAGUGGAAUUUUUAGUGUAGCGGUGAAAUGCGUAGAUAUUAAAAAGAAUACCGGUGGCGAAGGCGACUUACUGGGCUCAUUCUGACGCUGAGGAACGAAAGCGUGGGUAGCAAACAGG
rnacentral:rRNA from 1 species